GAUAGCCUGAAGGCUUUCGAAAGUACAGAUGCAUAUCAAUACGCAGUUGCAGGAUGGGUGAAUGACACCAAGAUAUGGCAUCUAGAGGCAAAACACAUGUAUGUCAUUACAGGACAUGUCAGUCAUUCGCAGGCUCUGAACACAAAAUCAACAUGUCCAUUAGGGAUGGGAAGAUUCACCGAUUCGCAUCGGCGCAUCCACAUAAAAACUCUCGAUGCGAUGGCCCGGAUACAAUGUGGGAUGAAAUCGCGAUGCAUCGUUUCUAACAUCUUUGCAUCGGUAUAAUCCGAUGUAUACAUAUAGAAUUAUGUGCAUGCGAACACCUUUAUUUUAUUUUUUUAUUUGACCAAUGAUUUGUGACCAAUAAUUUUAUAUUUAGAUAGUUCUUAAGCGCGCUCUGGUCUCCACUGCUGUCAGUGGCCGAUUCUCGUGAAGUCUCUCGGCCAAGUUUCGCGCGAGUUGGAGGCAUGUUCGGAAGUGUUACCAUGGCGGAUGAAGAGUUACACAUCCCUACAACUUGUAAUAAAUCCCAGGUUUGGCAGCAUUUUGGAUUUCCGAAGAAAGAUGGUAAAUUCGAUAAGACCAAUGCAAUCUGCAAAAUAUGUUGUGCUGCCAUAAAAUACACCGGCAGCACGACUAAUUUAGCUACUCACCUGAAGAGGCGACAUGGUGAUACGUCUGCCUCGGAUUCAGUUAUGGCUACAGUGGCUAGCUCCACCGGUAGACCUAGCAAGCAGACUGAGCAAAGUAUUGCCAGUAUUUUUUCAUGCCCCGAUGGCUACUAACUCAGCUCGUUCUUAGGCAAUAACCGAAGCCAUUGCUUUCUUUAUUUGUAAAGAUAUCCAGCCUUACAGUGUUGUAGAAAACGAGGGCUUCCAAUACCUCCUCAACAUACUGGAGCCGAGGAUCCACAUUCCAAAUAGAAAACUAUUCACAGAGAAACAAAUCCCUCUUCUGUACGAGAAAGUAAAACAAGAAUCAGCUGAGUCAUUGAGCAAUGCUCAAAGAGUUGCAUUAACAGUUGAUGGUUGGACGUCUUGCGCCACUGACUCGUAUGUCACAGUCACGGCACACUACAUUGAUGACGAGUGGGUUUUGCAAAACCACGUUCUACAAACCAAAGUGUUCAACGAGGCUCACACAGGGAUUAAUCUAGCAGUUUUACUGAAGGACAUUUGUUGCGAGUGGAAGAUCAAAGACAAGAACCCAGUGUUGGUCACGGACAACGCAAAAAAACAUGAUACUGGCUGGAGUUCAUGCAGGGAUUAACCCCCAUGUGCGAUGCAUCGCGCACACACUCAAUCUGGCCACGCAAAAAUCCCUGAAGGUGGAUAGGAUGUCAGAGCUUCUGGUGAAAGUGAGGAAGAUGACAACUUUUUUUCACAGAAGCCCACAAGCAACUGAGGUUCUACGUGAAAUGCAGGCCCAGUUACACAUGCCAAAUCACAAGCUCGUCCACGAUGUUCCCACAAGAUGGAACAGUUCCCUUGACAUGUUGGAGCGUUUUUGGGAGCAGCAGCCUGCUGUGUUGAACUCCCUGCUGUCAAGGAAGAUAAAGAGGGGAGAAGGAUUAGCCAGCCUGACAGAGGAAGACAUGACACUGAUCCCAGAGGUCAUCAAAUUGAUGUCCCCUCCAAAAGUGGCAACCACACUCCUCAGUGAGGAAAAAAACCCCACCAUCUCAAGAUCUCCCCAAUCCAGGCCAAACUGCAGAAGCAUUUCCAGCCAGAUGAGAACCAUCAACUGAUAAUUUCUCUGAUGAAGGAGCAGUUCAGACAGGACUUUAAUGGUCGCUACACAUAUCUCCAAGACCUCCUCUACAAUGCCACAGCACUUGAUCCAAGUUUCAAAGACCUGGCUUUCUUGGAAAACCACAGCACCAAGGACAUGAUAUUCAUGAAGAUAACAGCAGAGGUGGUGAUGAUGGAUGGAGAGAAGAUGUCCCCCCCAAGAAGACAGCCUUGGACCAGAUGUUUGGGGAUUUCCUCACUGCAAGAGCACCAAUGAAGACCACAAGGGAGAGAGCUAGGGCAGAAAUCAGUACAGAGAGAGGGUUUCUUUAGCUCUGAGUGGUGAUAUGUUGCAGUGGUGGAAAAAACAAGUGGAUCUUCCACUACUUUCAGCCUUGGCAAAGAGCUACCUGUCCAUCCCAGCAACAAGUGUAUCCUCUGAAAGAAUGUUCGGCACAGCUGGUGACAUAGUUACAGCACAGCGCAGUUUGCUUCACCCUGAUCAUGUGGAUCAACUCAUAUUCCAACCCAGUCUCAUCCCAACUCGUCAAAUAUUGACGCUUGGGCAGAGCCCUUUGGCGUCACUAUACCGACGCCGGGGGACGCCUUUUUCGUCGUUUUUUGACGCCUAGGGACGCCCAUUGACUUCCACGUUAAUAUGUUCGGCUUUUCCCGUAGAAAAUUGUGAACUAUGGCGUCGUAUUUUGACGCAUUAGGUCUCCCAUAGAUUUUGAUGAGCGGCUUUCGGAUUUUUACGAAACGUCACCAUAAUAAGUCGGGUGAUUUCGUAAAAAUCCGGCCGAUGUGCUUUCAACAUGAUUUUUUUUGUUAUAUCCAAGACAUAAA